rnacentral:tRNA from 1 species
GGGGAUUUAGCUUAGCCGCCUAAGCACCUGCCUUGCAAGCAGUCGGUCAUGAGUUCAAUCUCCA